CCGACCGGCCGGUCGGCUGUCGGGGCUGCGGCGUCUGGGCGGGCCAGUUGGCGUUCAGACUCUGAGUGGUGUGCGUGUCCAAUAAAGCCUUAUUAAGCCACGGGAAGGUCGGCCUUGGGAAGACCAAGCUGUUCCGGGUGAUCUUCCACGCUGUCAACCUGAACCCGACGGUGACCUGCCAAGAAAAGGAUCUCGAAAAGGCCGUCGGCAAGUGGCUGACAAACUGCCGCGACCGUGACGGCCAGCGAUCAGACCGGGGGCGAGGCCGUCCGCCCGCCCAGUGACUUGUGUCUCGAUGAGCGCAGAAAGAAAUACAGGACUGUGCCUGAUG